rnacentral:rRNA from 1 species
ACGCACGCUGGCGGCGUGCUUCACACAUGCCAGUCGAACGGAAAGGCCCUGCUUUUGUGGGGUGCUCGAGUGGCGAACGGGUGAGUAACACGUGAGUAACCUGCCCUUGACUUUGGGAUAACUUCAGGAAACUGGGGCUAAUACCGGAAAGGAGCUCCUGCUGCAUGGUGGGGGUUGGAAAGUUUCGGCGGUUGGGGAUGGACUCGCGGCUUAUCAGCUUGUUGGUGGGGUAGUGGCUUACCAAGGCUUUGACGGGUAGCCGGCCUGAGAGGGUGACCGGCCACAUUGGGACUGAGAUACGGCCCAGACUCCUACGGGAGGCAGCAGUGGGGAAUAUUGCACAAUGGGCGGAAGCCUGAUGCAGCAACGCCGCGUGCGGGAUGACGGCCUUCGGGUUGUAAACCGCUUUCGCCUGUGACGAAGCGUGAGUGACGGUAAUGGGUAAAGAAGCACCGGCUAACUACGUG